CUCGCCUCUGCUCUCAUCUCCCAUAGAUUCUUCCCUCCCUGGUGGCAGGAGUCAUACUCGUCCUUCCUCUCUCCAGAACCCUCUAGGGCUCCCACCUCCCUCAGGGUGAAAGUCAAGGUCCUCCUCACAGCCACAAGGCCCUGAUGGUCUUGCUGCUCCCAUUUCCAUCCCUCCAUUACUCUGCUCAGGCCACAAUGGCCUCCUCAAAGCUCCUCCAACAAGUCAGGCAGUCUCCUGCCUCAGGGCCUUUGCACAGGCUGUGCCUCUGUCUGGGACCAUCUUCCCCAAAACACUCAUGUGUCUCCCCCACCUCCUUCAGGUCUCAACUCAAAUGUCAAACCCACCCACAUGCCCUUUCUUGCUGUUCUCAGCAGUGUCGAGUCAACGUGCUCACAAAUAAUCACAGUAAUAAGUCACUUACCAGGUGGCUACUGUGCACCAGGCCCUGGGCUGGGGUUGGCGACAACUGAGACACACCCUUGCUCUUGUGGGACUCAUGGUCUGGGGCCAGGGAGGGAGGUGGAAAGCAUGAAUAAAGUGGGACACACAGCCAGUCGUGGCAGAGGGAGGGUCCUUCUAGAUGCGGCAGCCACGAAGGGCCUCCUAGGGGAGGUGGCACUGAGUUCAGGGGCCAGAAGUUGGAAAUCAAAGCGGCUGCUUCCGGAUGCCUGGGGAGAGGCCGGCCCACACUCCUCUCCCGUGUCUGGCGGCUGCACAGCCCUCGCACCCCUGGCUGGUGACAGCACCCCAGGGGCGCUGCCUCCGCCAUCGUCCUGUCUCUCUUUGUCUUCUCCUUUCUGUCUCUCGUGAGGAUUCCUGUCGUUGGAUUUGGGUUUUUCCCAACCCAGGAUGAUCUUUGUCAAGAUUACAUCUGCAGUCACCCCUUAAGGUCACUUCUAAGGUUCUGGGUAGACCUAUCUUUUGGGGGCCACGAUUCAACCCUCCCCAGGCACGUAUUAUCAGCUUUGCGUUACAGGCCAGGAAACUGAGGCACAGAGAGGUCAAGUGGCAGAUCUGAAGGGCUAGGACUUAGACCCCAGCUGUCUGCAGCCUGGAUGCACGCACUUCCCUGCUCCACCUGGGGGCUGGGCCCUUGCCAGGGGCUGGGGACAUGGAAGGGUCAAGAACGGCAACAGCAGAGAUACAGCCUGUGGACCUCAGGCCAAUGGCUGCUCCACGUGUCAGGACUUAUGAACUCAGGAUCAAGGGGCCCUGUGGUGGGCUAAAUGGUGUCGUCCAAAUGACAUGGCCUUCAGAGCCUGUGCCUGGGACCUUACUUGAAAACAGGGUCUUUGCAGAUGUAUUUAAGGCCCGGAUCUCGAGGUGAGGUUCCCCUGGAUCAGGACGGGCCCUGAAGCUAAUGACAGCAUCCUGAUAAGAGGAGCGACAGGAGGGAAAGAUCCGAGACGGAGGAGAAGGCCGUGUGGCUGCCGAGCGGAGGCCGGAGGGAUGCUGCCACAAGCCAAGAAAUGCUAAGGGGUGCGGUGUUCCCCAGAAGCCGGGAGAGGCCCGGGCCGGACUCCCCCGAAAGAGCCCGCCCUGCCUGCCGGUCUCAGACGCUGGCCCCAGAUUUUGGGAGAAGCAGCGUCUGUUGUUUCAAGCCCCAGUUCCUCACUUCCUCCUCUCCCAGACCACGGCCGCCACCCUCCCGAGGGCCCAGCCCCGAGGGGACCCUCCGGCAGGAGCGGGCAGGCGUGCCAUUCUCUUGGGGGCAUUUCAGGGGAUGUGGGCUGUGGACUCUGACAGGCUCAAGGACUCCAGAUGUUUUCCCCAGUGUUGGAACCAUUCACCCUCCGCAGCCGUGCGCACACUUCCCAUGAACCUGCGCCUGGGAAAGCCUUGGUGGUGCUGGACUCUGUAGCUUUGGCCAAUCAAAGCGUGUCUGGCUGGUGCUGUGAGCUGCACCUUUCUCACUGCGCUUGGGGCUGAACCUCUGGCCACACACACUUCCUCCCGGGGUCCCGCCUGCUCUCCACGAUGAGUUGGAGGAGCUCUUUACAUGCGUGUGACACUCUUCCUCUGUCGGUCAAGCACAUUGCGAACACCUUCCCUCGUGUGCAACUUGCCUCUUCGCCUCCCUCAAGGUGCCUGUUGACGAACCAGGUGUCCCAAUCUUAAUGCGCAUAGACUGAUUCAUCUUUUCUUGUAGGCAAUGUGCCUGUUGGCUGUCGUCUGGGAAGUCUUUCCUCACCCCACGACCUCCCGCACCUCCUACCAAGACUUUCAAGGUUUACUCAUUACAUUUUUGCACAUAACCCCUUCACCCACAUGGGGUUGAAUUUCGUGUGUAAUGAGACGCAGGGAUCCGGUUUAUUCGUUUUCAGCGUGGCCUCGCACUUCCCAGACCCCUUCGUGGAGGAGCCCGCCCUCCCCACCGCUGGCAAGGACUCUGUCCAUCCUGGAGCAAAACGCCUGACCCACGCGGGGUUUCUGGGGCAUUUAACUCCACUCCAUUGGUCAAUGUGCCUCUCCUGUGUCAGCGUCCCUUUGCCUCAGUCCCAGGCUUGUGAUGGGCCCCCGUGUCCGGCAGGACAGCUGAUACCGCCCGUGCUUCCACAGAAGCGUCCUGGCUACUGCAACCGUCUGCUCCUCCAGGUGUGUUUUAUUUUGAAGCUGGAACCAGCAUUUUCCCAGGCUUGUCCGGGCAGCCAGACUUCACGGAAAGUCUGGAAAAAAAUACCAGUAAGUAUUUUAAACGUCGGGUGGAUCAAGGUGCGGCUCACGGACAGCAGAGUGCGUGCGGCUGGACGAGUUUGGACAAACGCGUUCAGUUCCGGAACUGCCCGUCUGCAGACAGUAUUCCCACCACCCAAACGGCCCGCGGGGCCGCUGAGCCGUCCCUCCCCGCCCCCGCCAGCCCGGCACACGCGCCUCUGUCUCUGCCCGCUGCCCACAGCCGCACAGGGAGUUAUAGAUCGGCUCCGGCGAGGGCUCCCUCCUCUGUCUUCAGGCUGAGCCUGGAGGGGGUCUGCCCAUGGCCGGCCCCUGCAGUCGGCCCAAGUCCCAUUUUACAGCCAGUCCCACUGAGGCUGGAGACGAACUGCCCAGCAGGUCCAGUGGCCCCAAGGCUGGGCCUCUAUCUUCUCACCCCAAAAGGGAAAGUGGGCAUUGCUAUACUGGACGUUUGUGUCCCCCAAAAUUCAUACACUGAAACCUCAUCCCCAAGGUGGUGUGUUGGGAGGUGUGGCCUUUGGGAGGUGACGAGGCCGUGAGCGUGGAGCCCCACGAUGGGACCAGUGUCCUUAUAAAAGGGACACGAGAGAGCACGCUUUGCCACCCUGUGCCCCGCCCGCCCGUGAGGACGGAGCAGGAAGGCAGCCAUCUGCAGACCAGACAGCCGGGCCUCACUGGACGUGGGAUCCACCGGCGCUUUGGUCUCAGACUUCGGCCCCCAGAGCCGUGAGAAAUAAACGUCUGUUGUUCAGGCUGCCCAGCCCGUGGUGUUUUGUCACAGCAGCCCUAACUGACCAAGACCCGCCACAUCCCGGGGUCACCACAAC
rnacentral:lncRNA from 1 species